UACCUGUUCCCGAAAAUUGUGGCUACAGCUGAUUGAAGAGACAAAAAAUUAUUAUCUAAAGUUUUAUCCCUUGAUUGAAUCAAAUCCUAUGGGGACAUACAAAGCAAUUGGAAUGAAGAUGGUGUCUGCUUAUCCAUCCAUCAAGCGUGAAGGCUUGUUUCCAUGGAGUCAGUUUACUAGGGCCCUCAGUCAGAGCAUUCGAACUGAGCGUUAUAAACAGAAGAGAAAGAGCAUGCCUCAUGUACAACAUGCUCAUCCAGCCCCCAAAAGAUUUGCUUUGGGUAGGAAGCAGUUUACCACUAUAGAGAAUCAAGAACGUGAGCUGACCGAAGACGAAUUCGUGAGGCACACCAAAGAACUUUGCCAGGAAAUGAAAAAGAAAAAUCUUAACACUGAGCAUAUAAAUAUGCUUUUAACUGCUACAAUGGUGAACCGACAAAAGUGGAUAUCAACACUUCCUGGUGGACUCAUCUCACCAAUAUUGAUGAAGUUCCCUUGCUUCUGGAAGAGCAGUUUUAUCAAAACUGAGAUGGAAAGACUUCUCAAGGAUACCACUGAAAGCUGGAAGACUAAAUUGAACAAGAUAUGUGACACACUGAUUAAGAAGGUUCCCAAGACUGACCAUCAUAGUUCACUGCAUGAAUAUGAUGUAAUUCACUACAUUGAAAAUGAAAUUUCCUUCAAAC